UGGGAGGAAGUGCCCAGUUUGGAAACAGCACUAGUUUCCUGGACACCAUCUGUGCAAGGCUUCAUCCAAGGACAGGAUUAUGCAGAGCAAGCAAUUCAUCUAAGAGAAGAAGAGGCAAUCAGCGGAAAGCAGCAAACUGUGCUGAAGGGCAAAGGAGUCAUGGCUCCUGGGGCAGAAAGAGGUGAAAGACUGCCGAACUGAAAGACCCUGCACCUUCCAUCUGUGGUG